rnacentral:ribozyme from 12 species
AAAACAGUUUUUAAAAAUUCGAAAAAAAAUUCGAAAAAAGUUAACAUUUUCUCUUCGUUUUCCCUUCUUUUCUCCCUACUUUUUCUCCUCGUUU